GAUGAACGCUGGCGGCGUGCCUAACACAUGCAAGUCGAGCGAUUUACUUCGGUAAAGAGCGGCGGACGGGUGAGUAACGCGUGGGUAACCUGCCUCAUACACAUGGAUAACAUACCGAAAGGUAUGCUAAUACAAGAUGAUAUAAGAGAUUCGCAUGGAUUUCUUAUCAAAGCUUUUGCGGUAUGAGAUGGACCCGCGUCUGAUUAGCUAGUUGGUAGGGUAACGGCUUACCAAGGCGACGAUCAGUAGCCGACCUGAGAGGGUGAUCGGCCACAUUGGAACUGAGACACGGUCCAAACUCCUACGGGAGGCAGCAGUGGGGAAUAUUGCACAAUGGGCGAAAGCCUGAUGCAGCAACGCCGCGUGAGCGAUGAAGGCCUUCGGGUCGUAAAGCUCUGUCCUCAAGGAAGAUAAUGACGGUACUUGAGGAGGAAGCCCCGGCUAACUACGUGCCAGCCGCCGCAGUAAAAC
rnacentral:rRNA from 1 species